GACGAACGCUGGCGGCGUGCUUAACACAUGCAAGUCGAACGGAAAGGCCCUGCUUUUGUGGGGUGCUCGAGUGGCGAACGGGUGAGUAACACGUGAGUAACCUGCCCUUGACUUUGGGAUAACUUCAGGAAACUGGGGCUAAUACCGGAUAGGAGCUCCUGCUGCAUGGUGGGGGUUGGAAAGUUUCGGCGGUUGGGGAUGGACUCGCGGCUUAUCAGCUUGUUGGUGGGGUAGUGGCUUACCAAGGCUUUGACGGGUAGCCGGCCUGAGAGGGUGACCGGCUGCGCUACGAUGGGGCAGCGCCGCGGACGAGAGGGGGGGGGAGGGGGGGGGAUAAUUGCACGACGGAGGGGAGCGGGAGGCAGCGACGCGGGGGGGGGGAUGACGGGCUGCGGGUUAGUCACGGCUGUCGGCGGGGAGGGGGCGGGAGGGACGAUAGUGGGAAAGGAACCCCCGGCAACCAACGGACCAGCAGCCGAGGUAAAAAUCGAAGAGCAUGCUCCUGACC
rnacentral:rRNA from 1 species